rnacentral:rRNA from 1 species
GAUGAACGCUGGCGGCGUGCCUAACACAUGCGAGUCGAACGGACAUUUUUUGGAAAGUUCUUCGGAACUGGAAUCUAAAUGUUAGUGGCGACGGGUGAGUAACGCGUGAGCAAUCUGCCUUUCAGAGGGGGGUAACAGCCGGAAACGGCUGCUAAUACCGCAUAAUGCAUUGGAUUCGCAUGUUUCUGAUGCCAAAGAUUUUAUCGCUGAAAGAUGAGCUCGCGUCUGAUUAGCUAGUUGGCGGGGUAACGGCCCACCAAGGCGACGAUCAGUAGCCGGACUGAGAGGUUGAACGGCCACAUUGGGACUGAGACACGGCCCAGACUCCUACGGGAGGCAGCAGUGGGGAAUAUUGCGCAAUGGGGGCAACCCUGACGCAGCAACGCCGCGUGAUUGAUGAAGGUCUUCGGAUUGUAAAAAUCUUUAAUCAGGGACGAAGAAAAUGACGGUACCUGAAGAAUAAGCUCCGGCUAACUACGUGCCAGCAGCCGCGGUAAUACGUAGGGAGCAAGCGUUAUCCGGAUUUACUGGGUGUAAAGGGCGUGUAGGCGGGCUUGCAAGUUGGAAGUGAAAUCUCGGGGCUUAACCCCGAAACUGCUUUCAAAGCUGCGAGUCUUGAGUGAUGGAGAGGCAGGCGGAAUUCCCAGCGUAGCGGUGAAAUGCGUAGAUAUUGGGAGGAACACCAGUGGCGAAGGCGGCCUGCUGGACAUUAACUGACGCUGAGGCGCGAAAGCGUGGGGAGCAAACAGG